rnacentral:misc_RNA from 1 species
UGGUUCUGGCAUCGAUGAAGAACGCAGCGAAAUGCGAUAAGUAAUGUGAAUUGCAGAAUUCAGUGAACCAUCGAAUCUUUGAACGCACAUUGCGCCCGCCAGCACUCUGGCGGGCAUGCCUGUUCGAGCGUCAUUUCAACCCCCAAGCGCCUGCUUGGUGUUGGGGGCCGGCCGGCGGCCCACGUCGCCCGCCGCCCCCGAAAUGAACCGGCGGCCGCGACCGCGCCCUCUCCCAUGCGUAGUAGCAAGAACACCUCGCAGCGGGAGCGCGGGCGGUGGCCACUGCCGUAAAACGACGCAGCUCGCGACCUCAAGAGUUGACCUCGAAUCAGGUAGGAGUACCCGCUGA